GUGAGUAGAACAAUUUCAUAUUGAAAAAAGUAAAAUUGUCCUCUAUAUAACUGUUCUAUUCACAG
ensembl:miRNA mir-4922.1 miscRNA